GACGAAGGGGGCCAGCGUUGUUCGGAAUUACUGGGCGUAAAGCGCGCGUAGGCGGCUCUUCAAGUCAGGCGUGAAAGCCCCGGGCUUAACCCGGGAAUAGCGCUUGAUACUGUUGGGCUUGAGUCCGGGAGAGGAUAGUGGAAUUCCCAGUGUAGAGGUGAAAUUCGUAGAUAUUGGGAAGAACACCAGUGGCGAAGGCGGCUAUCUGGACCGGAACUGACGCUGAGGCGCGAAAGCGUGGGGAGCAAACAGG
rnacentral:rRNA from 1 species